rnacentral:rRNA from 1 species
GACGAACGCUGGCGGCGUGCUUAACACAUGCCAGUCGAACGGAAAGGCCCUGCUUUUGUGGGGUGCUCGAGUGGCGAACGGGUGAGUAACACGUGAGUAACCUGCCCUUGACUUUGGGAUAACUUCAGGAAACUGGGGCUAAUACCGGAUAGGAGCUCCUGCUGCAUGGUGGGGGUUGGAAAGUUUCGGCGGGUGGGGAUGGACUCGCGGCUUAUCAGCUUGUUGGUGGGGUAGUGGCUUACCAAGGCUUUGACGGGUAGCCGGCCUGGGAGGGUGACCGGCCACAUUGGGACUGAGAUACGGCCCAGACUCCUACGGGGGGCAGCAGUGGGGAAUAUUGCACAAUGGGCGGAAGCCUGAUGCAGCAACGCCGCGUGCGGGAUGACGGCCUUCGGGUUGUAAACCGCUUUCGCCUGUGACGAAGCGUGAGUGACGGUAAUGGGUAAAGAAGCACCGGCUAACUACGUG